AUUGAACGCUGGCGGCAUGGCUAAAGCAUGCAAGUCGAACGGACCCGCAAGGGUCAGUGGCGAAAGGGUCAGUAAUACGAUCGAACGUACCCUGAGGUGUGGGAUAGCCGCGGGAAACUGCGGGUAAUACCACAUGUGCUCUACGGAGGAAGGCUUCCCUUCACGGGGUGGCGCCUCGGGAGCGGCGAUCGUCCUAUCAGGUAGUUGGCGGGGUAACGGCCCACCAAGCCGAAGACGGGUAGCGGGUGUGAGAGCACGGCCCGCGACAUCGGGACUGAGACACUGCCCGGACUCCUACGGGAGGCUGCAGCGACGAAUCUUCCGCAAUGGGCGAAAGCCUGACGGAGCAAUGCCGCGUGCGGGAUGAAGCGGCUACGCCGUGUAAACCGCUGUCAGGGGGC
rnacentral:rRNA from 1 species